CUGCCCGGAUUCCUGACAUGGUGUAGGGCAGGCAGGGUGGGGAAGGCACCGGAGAGGACCCGAGCGCGGAGAGCCUGCGGCGGGGCCGGAGUGCUGGGGCUUUGAACUCCGGGGGAGGCAGGACCAGAACUUUUGGAACUAGCGCGGGUGGCUCUCCACCCCCAGGCCCACGUGAAAGCAGUCCACCAGGAAAACUUUGCCGAGAGUCUCAGAGCUCAGCCCAGGAACUUUGCAGGAAUCAGUAUAAAAGAACUUAUGUGGAUCAGUUUGCUUAGUAUAGUCAAGAUUUGAAGAGCUAAAAAAAUCGGUAUUAAACCUGUUUUUU